GUGGGGUUUAUCGGAUUACUGGGCGUAAGCGUACGCAGGCGGCUGUGCAAGACAGGUGUGAAAUCCCCGGGCCCAACCUGGGAACUGCAUUUGUGACUGCACGGCUAGAGUCCGUAAGAGGGGGGUGGAAUUCCACGUGUAGCAGUGAAAUGCGUAGAGAUGUGGAGGAACACCGAUGGCGAAGGCAGCCCCCUGGGAUGAGACUGACGCUCAUGUACGAAAGCGUGGGGAGCAAACAGGAUUAGAUACCCUGGUAGUCCACGCCCUAAACGAUGUCGACUAGUUGUCGGGUCUUUACAGACUUGGUAACGCAGCUAACGCGUGAAGUCGACCGCCUGGGGAGUACGGUCGCAAGAUUAAAACUCAAAGGAAUUGACGGGGACCCGCACAAGCGGUGGAUGAUGUGGAUUAAUUCGAUGCAACGCGAAAAACCUUACCUACCCUUGACAUGGCAGGAACUCCGCAGAGAUGUGGAGGUGCCCGAAAGGGAGCCUGCGCACAGGUGCUGCACGGCUGUCGUCAGCUCGUGUCGUGAGAUGUUGGGUUAAGUCCCGCAACGAGCGCAACCCUUGUCACUAGUUGCUACGAAAGGGCACUCUAGUGAGACCGCCGGUGACAAACCGGAGGAAGGUGGGGAUGACGUCAAGUCCUCAUGGCCCUUAUGGGUAGGGCUUCACACGUCAUACAAUGGUCGGUACAGAGGGUUGCCAACCCGCGAGGGGGAGCCAAUCCCAGAAAACCGGUCGUAGUCCGGAUUGCAGUCUGCAACUCGACUGCAUGAAGUCGGAAUCGCUAGUAAUCGCGGAUCAGCAUGUCGCGGUGAAUACGUUCCCGG
rnacentral:rRNA from 1 species